rnacentral:tRNA from 1 species
GGGGUCGUAGCUCAGUUGGUUAGAGCGCCUGCUUUGCAAGCAGGAGGUCAGGAGUUCGAAUCUCCUCGACUCCACCA